rnacentral:rRNA from 1 species
UACGAAGGGGGCUAGCGUUGCUCGGAAUUACUGGGCGUAAAGCGCACGUAGGCGGACUCUUAAGUCGGUGGUGAAAUCCUGGAGCUCAACUCCAGAACUGCCUUUGAUACUGGGAAGCUUGAGUCCGGGAGAGGUGAGUGGAACUCCGAGUGUAGAGGUGAAAUUCGUAGAUAUUCGGAAGAACACCAGUGGCGAAGGCGGCUCACUGGCCCGGUACUGACGCUGAGGUGCGAAAGCGUGGGGAGCAAACAGG